rnacentral:rRNA from 1 species
ACGCGUCCGAGUUGUAAUUUGAAGAUGGUAACUUUGGAGGCGGCCCUGGCAUAUGUUCCUUGGAAUAGGACGUCAUAGAGGGUGAGAAUCCCGUAUAUGGCUGGGUGCCCGUCUCUUUGUAAAGUGCUAUCUAAGAGUCGAGUUGUUUGGGAAUGCAGCUCUAAGUGGGUGGUAAAUUCCAUCUAAGGCUAAAUAUUGGCGAGAGACCGAUAGCGAACAAGUACAGUGAUGGAAAGAUGAAAAGAACUUUGAAAAGAGAGUGAAAAAGUACGUGAAAUUGCUGAAAGGGAAGGGCUUGAGAUCAGACUUGGCUUGUAGUGAUCAGCUGUCUUUCGGGACUGUGCACUCGCUACUUGCUAGGCCAGCAUCGGUUCUGGCGGUAGGAAAAUAGCGGUUGAAUGUGGCUCUGCUUCGGUGGAGUGUUAUAGCUUCCGUUGAUACUGCCAGCUGGGACCGAGGACCGCGCUUCGUGCUAGGAUGCUGGCGUAAUGAUCUUAAGCCACCCGUCUUGAAACACGGACCAAGGAGUCUAACGUCUAUGCGAGUGUUUGGGUGUAAAACCCGUACGCGUAAUGAAAGUGAACGUAGAGGAGAGCCCGCAAGGGUGCACCCUCGACCGAUCCAGAGGUUUCUUCUGAAGGAUUUGAGUAAGAGCAUAGCUGUUGGGACCCGAAAGAUGGUGAACUAUGCCUGAAUAGGGUGAAGCCAGAGGAAACUCUGGUGGAGGCUCGUAGCGGUUCUGACGUGCAAAUCGAUCGUAAAAUUUGGGUAUAGGGGCGAAAGACUAAUCGAACCAUCUAGUAGCUGGUUCCUGCCGAAGUUUCCCUCAGGAUAGCAGAAGCUCAUAUCAGUUCUAUGAGGUAAAGCGAAUGAUUAGAGGUAUUGGGAUUGAAACGAUCUUGACCUAUUCUCAAACUUUAAAUAUGUAGGAAGUCCUUGUUACUUAAUUGAACGUGGACAAUUGAAUGAAGAGCUUUUAGUGGGCCAUUUUUGGUAAGCAGAACUGGCGAUGCGGGAUGAACCGAACGUGAAGUUAAAGUGCCGGAAUACACGCUCAUCAAACACCACAAAAGGUGUUAGUCAUCU